rnacentral:rRNA from 1 species
ACGCAAUAGAUACCCAGGUAGUCCACGCCCUAAACGAUGUUUACUAGUUGUCGGGUCUUAAUUGACUUGGUAAACGCAGCUAAACGCGUGAAGUAGACCGCCUGGGGAGUACGGUCGCAAGAUUAAAACUCAAAGGAAUUGACGGGGACCCGCACAAGCGGUGGAUGAUGUGGAUUAAUUCGAUGCAACGCGAAAAACCUUACCUACCCUUGACAUGGAAGGAAUCCCUGAGAGAUUGGGGAGUGCCCGAAAGGGAACCUUUACACAGGUGCUGCAUGGCUGUCGUCAGCUCGUGUCGUGAGAUGUUGGGUUAAGUCCCGCAACGAGCGCAACCCUUGUCAUUAGUUGCUACGAAAGGGCACUCUAAUGAGACUGCCGGUGACAAACCGGAGGAAGGUGGGGAUGACGUCAAGUCCUCAUGGCCCUUAUGGGUAGGGCUUCACACGUCAUACAAUGGUACAUACAGAGGGCCGCCAACCCGGCGAGGGGGUAGCUAAUCCCAGAAAGUGUAUCGUAGUCCGGAUUGUAGUCUGCAACUCGACUGCAUGAA